CCUCUCCUGAACAUGCACACCCGGCUCACAGAGCCCACCAUGGACCUGAACUGGAGCUUCCUCAUCUUGGUGGCAGCAGCUACAGGUGUCCACUCCCAGGUGCAGCUGGAGCAGCCUGGGGCUGAAGUGAGGAGGCCUGGAGACUCGGCCAAGUUGUCCUGCAGGGCUUCUGGAUACACCUUUACCAGCUACUACAUGCACUGGGUGAGGCAGAAGUCAGGACAGGGGCUUGAGUGGAUUGGACGGAUUGACCCUGAGGAUGGUGGGACCGAAUAUGCUCCAAAGUUCGAGGGCAAGGCCUCCCUGACUGCAGACACCUCCUCCAGCACUGCCUACAUGGAGCUGAGCAGCCUGACAGCUGACGACUCGGCCGUGUAUUACUGUGCGAGGCACAGUGUGCACACCCACAUCCUGAGUGUGUCAGGAACCCUGAGGGGAAGGCAGCCACCUCAGGGCUGUGAGGAGAAGGACGAUUCCCCCGAUCUCCUGACAGAAAAUGCAGAUAAUUAA